UACAAUGUAUCCACACUGUAGUGUAGUUUGCACUUUAUUGCCUGUGUGCUCCUUUUUUGUGUUGGGAAUCAGGCGAUAUAAUGUAGCAACUGAGUUGCUGGUAGCUAGAAAAUCCACAAUGCUGUGUUGCCUCCCUAUUUCCUACCGCUGCUGUUGUUAGUCUGGAACCCCCUAGUUCCGAGCCAGGGCCCCAGUCUACCCUGCCCCUCCCUCUCCUCCCCAGCGUUGCUUGUUUGGUAUGCUGAGCGUUGUGUCUGUUGUCUGCAGCUUGUAGUUACAUUCCAAUGGCCUUGUUUAUUAUAGACCAGACAUACAUUCGAGAAGGGUUCUUGAUUCCGUAUCCUGUGUCUGCACGCUUGUGUGUGAGGUCUUAACACAUGCUCCGGUGUGUGUGUGUGUGUGUGUGUGUGUGUGUGUGUGUGUGUGUGUGUGUGUGUGUGUGUGUGUGUGUGUGUGUGUGUGUGUGUGUGUGUGUGUGUGUGUGUGUGUGUGUGUGUGUGUGUGUGUGUGUGUGUGUGGUAGAAACGGGAGCGAGGCUGAGGUCACAAGCUCAGUGGAAACAUUCUCGGAGACUCGAACCAAGCGCUCUGCUUGGUCCUCCAUUUUGAGCACCUAGCAAUAGGUGGGAAGGAACACAGUGAGUUGAUUUCACAAACGACCACUACUACAGUUCUAGACAAAACUGUCAACGUCCCGACCCUUAGAGAUCGGUGUCAGAAAUGGACGACUUGUUCGCCCCGCGGAGGAGAUAUAAGAACAGAAGCAAGGCUUGUGCGGACUCCAUUUUGCAGUACUCUACUCUCUCUCUCUCUCUCUUUCUCUCUAUGCUCGUAUUUACAAUCGAGCCGACAUGGCAGCCCUGAGAAGCUUUGUGCACUCUCUCGAUGGCUGAAAAAUACAAUCAUGUCAAAGAAAGAGCGCUGUAGGUACUAAAGGAGACGGAGUGUGGGUUGAUUAGAAAAGUUGACCAUUUUUUGUAAUAUUAUGACAGCGUUUACAGUCGUGCGACGAUUGGACGGGAUUGAUGGAAAGGGGCGGGGUUUGUCUUGAUUACUGUUGUGCAGUGUAAAGUUACACCAUGCUGGAUCAGACUGGUCUUGUUUUGGUUCAGAAAGCAUACAGGAAUAAGAAGUGACCUGCUUGGUCUUUAUUUUUGUCACUUUCUAUUUUAGACCACGUGAAAUAUGUUGAUCGUAAUUCCUAUUGUUACAGGACUUUUUGUUUUUAUUUAACCCUUAUUUAACUACGCAUAGAAGUUCUUACAAUAUAUAAUAUACACAGAUUUGAAACAAUGUUUCAAGGCUGUUGGAGAGCUACAUUUAAUAUUUAUGCAUAUUCAGGGUUAGGUAUAAUAUGAUAACAUUUAAAAUAUCAAAUUACUUUCCUAGAAUAUUACUCAUGACAUGCAUCAGGAAAUGUACCCCAAUCCCUUACAUAUUUUUAAUAAAUGGAUUGAUAAAUAAAUUGGUUCAUUUAAAGUGUA